CCCCUAGAUGUUCUGGGCCGCACGCGCGCUACACUGAACAGUUCCACAAGUCUUAACCUUGGCCGAUAGGUCUGGGUAAUCUUUGAACGCUGUUCGUGAUUGGGAUAGACCUUUGCAAUUAUGGGUCUUCAACGAGGAAUUCCUAGUAAACGCAAGUCAUCAGCUUGCAUUGAUUACGUCCCUGCCCUUUGUACACACCGCCCGUCGCACCUACCGAUUGAAUGGUCCGGUGAAAUCUCGGGACGGCGGCUUGGUCGCUUGCGUCCGACUGCUGAAACUUGAUUAAACCAUAUCAUUUAGAGGAAGGUGAAGUCGUAACA
rnacentral:rRNA from 1 species